rnacentral:lncRNA from 1 species
AUUCUUUGGAAGAUUAGUAUAUAUGUGAUUAUAUCUAUAGAUCUAUAACCAAAACUAUAAAAACAAGAUAUUUACAUAGUACAUAUAUUUGUGAAUUUAUUAUUGCUUCAUUUGUAUUACUACCUUAUAUUAUCCCUUUAUGGUUUUGAUGUACCAAAAGAAAGAUAUAAAGAAAAAAAUCGGAAAUAUUGAAAUAAAAAAAAUAAGAGCCAACAAAAUAAGAUUAAUGCCAGACCUAUUUUAGUUUAUAUGAACAAUGGUAACAGAUAUGGGGCUUGUAAGAUUCAAAAUAUCAGGUUGUACAUUUCUCGAUUUAUUUAUUUUCGUGGAUUGAUGAGAAUUUCCCCCCGUGGAUGUUGUUAAUAUAAUAUUUCUUGGUUAUGCAAAAGUUUGUAUACAAGCCUAUAGAAAAUAUAAGCCUCGUUGAAUAUUUAAAUUCAUAGUUUUCCUUUACCAACGAAAAUUGGUAGACCCUAAAUAAUGAUGAACCCACGGUGCUUCCUAUGUUUAACAACGAACACGACUGUCAUACAAGUAUAGGGUAUGUGCCAUAAAUCUGGUUUAAUUUCAGCACUUUCAUUAUCAGUAAAUAUCCAUAGUCCAUCAUCAUUCAUUUAUUUUAUUGUAUUUCGAAUAUUGUCAUUGACAUUCGAUCAUUUGUUCCUCGAAAUAGUGAUUGAAACUAGAGCGGGAUAUAGAUACAGAAUGUUGCUCUUGAGGAAGGGAAAUAGUUGACCCAUGCUCUCAGGAUUUCAAACACCUGACCGCUAUGAUCUUUUUCGAUGAAUAAUUCUGAUUUGCUUACCCAAAAAACAUUACCCUCUCCAUUCUUACCAACAAAAUCCAAAAAAAAAACAAAAAACCAAAUAGCAUGUACGCCCACCUGUAAUCUAUAAUAUAUAUUGACUUGCUCCUGUAAGAUGUUAUAAAGAGCACGGUGUUAUUACAGCUCACGGUUCAAUAAAUAAUUGGGACCAAGCACACUAGCAAUUGUCUCUGAUCCCCCUACAAAUAUGCCUAUAUAAAGGUAAAAUGGACCAGUGCCUGUCGAAACAAGGGCCAAUCAAAUGCCGUAGCUUUGAUAGGUAAAAUAAGACAACAUAUUGACCAAAUAAAUAAACUUAAGAGAACACAAGUAGAAAUGUCUCGCCUGCUUUACUUGUUGUGGUUAAAAUUGAUGUUGAAAAUCUUUAGAAAUAUUUAAUAAAGGCAUCUGAUAAAUAUUACCAAUGAUUCAUGAAAAGUUAAAAAAAAAAAUACCGAACUCCUAAGAACUCCUAAGCAAACUAAAGAAGGGACAGUUCAUAAAAACUGUCAAAACACAACGUUAAUAAUCGAUGGUUUUAGUUCAAGGAACAGGGGCUAUGUCAUCGAUUUUGGUAUAAUUUGUAUACAACUUUAGCAAACGUGGAAUGAGGAUUAUAUUAUCAACUGAUUCUAACAGCAUUAAAAUAUUGAUCUCUGAUUUCGUUAUAAUACAUAUGAGCUAGAUUGAGAAUUAUAAUACACCAAAUUAGUACAACAGUAAUUACAUAAGUUUAUAAACAAAUAAAUAUGCUGCCAAAAAUAAACCAAAAUAAAACAUCGCACCAUCAUCACACGUGUUCAUGACGCUGUAUUGAUUACAUUCGGUAAACAUCAGCAGCAAAACCCGAACAUCAAUUUAGUUACAGCCAAAGUUUUCGAUCAGCAAUCAUUGAAGGAAUCUCUUUUUACCCGAUUAUAGUUAUGGGUUCAUUAUUACAAGAGUUUCGAAAGAUACCAGAGGGACAUUCAAACUCGUAUGUCGAAAAUAAACUGACAAUGGCUAAAAACGAAAAAAAAAGACCAAUAGACACACAAUAGUAAACAAAAAAACAACUUAAAAAACUAAAGACUGAACACGAACCCCACUAAACAUAGGGGAGAUCUAAGGUGCUCCGGAGAUCAUGCUCCACAUCUGGCAUCUGUCGUGUUCCUCAUGUUAUUUCAAAGCAGGUAAUAAGUUUAAUUCGGAUGGUCAAAUUCGGGAAAAGGGUACG